UGCCAGCAGCCGCGGUAAUACGUAGGUGGCAAGCGUUGUCCGGAAUUACUGGGUGUAAAGGGAGCGUAGGCGGGAAAGUAAGUUGAAUGUUUAAACUAUCGGCUCAACUGGUAGUCGCGUUCAAAACUGCUUUUCUUGAGUGCAGUAGAGGUAGGCGGAAUUCCUAGUGUAGCGGUGAAAUGCGUAGAUAUUAGGAGGAACACCAGUGGCGAAGGCGGCCUACUGGGCUGUAACUGACGCUGAGUCUCGAAAGCGUGGGUCGAAAACAGGCUUAGAUC
rnacentral:rRNA from 1 species